rnacentral:tRNA from 1 species
GGGGAUUUAGCUUAGCGGUAGAGCACUUGCCUAGCAAGCACAAGGCCCUGGGUUCGGUCCCCAGCUCCG